rnacentral:rRNA from 1 species
AGAGUUUGAUCCUGGCUCAGGAUGAACGCUGGCGGCGUGCCUAACACAUUCAAGUCGAACGGUGAAGGGACUUCGGUCCCGGAUCAGUGGCGGACGGGUGAGUAACGCGUGAGCAACCUGCCUUUGCUUGGGGGAUAACGUUUGGAAACGAACGCUAAUACCGCAUAAAACAGCAUUCCGGCAUCGGGAAGCUGUCAAAGAUUUAUUGAGCAGAGAUGGGCUCGCGUCCGAUUAGAUAGUUGGUGAGGUAACGGCUCACCAAGUCGACGAUCGGUAGCCGGACUGAGAGGUUGAACGGCCACAUUGGAACUGAGAUACGGUCCAGACUCCUACGGGAGGCAGCAGUGGGGAAUAUUGGGCAAUGGGCGAAAGCCUGACCCAGCGACGCCGCGUGAAGGAAGAAGGCCCUCGGGUUGUAAACUUCAGUCAACAGGGAAGAAACAAAUGACGGUACCUGUGGAGGAAGCCACGGCUAACUACGUGCCAGCAGCCGCGGUAAUACGUAGGUGGCAAGCGUUAUCCGGAUUUACUGGGUGUAAAGGGUGUGUAGGCGGGUCUGCAAGUCAGAUGUGAAAACUAUGGGCUCAACUCAUAGCUUGCAUUUGAAACUGUGGAUCUUGAGUGUCGGAGAGGUAAAUGGAAUUCCCGGUGUAGAGGUGAAAUUCGUAGAUAUCGGGAGGAACACCAGUGGCGAAGGCGGUUUACUGGACGAUUACUGACGCUGAGACACGAAAGUGUGGGGAGCAAACAGGAUUAGAUACCCUGGUAGUCCACACUGUAAACGAUGAAUGCUAGGUGUAGGGGCGAUUGAGCUUCUGUGCCGCAGUUAACACAAUAAGCAUUCCACCUGGGGAGUACGGCCGCAAGGUUGAAACUCAAAGGAAUUGACGGGAGCCCGCACAAGCAGUGGAGUAUGUGGUUUAAUUCGACGCAACGCGAAGAAC